rnacentral:rRNA from 1 species
ACGCUCGACACCUACGUGAGGCAGCAGUGAGGAAUAUUGGUCAAUGGGCGCUAGCCUGAACCAGCCAAGUAGCGUGAAGGAUGAAGGCUCUAUGGGUCGUAAACUUCUUUUAUAUAAGAAUAAAGUGCAGUAUGUAUACUGUUUUGUAUGUAUUAUAUGAAUAAGGAUCGGCUAACUCCGUGUCAGCAGCCGCGGUAAUCUGAGCGGGCUGGCAAGGC